UCUGUUUUUUUUUAAUCUUUUUUCAUCAUCUUCUGCAUUUAUGUUUUUUUGUAUAUCACCACCAUUCUUCACAAAAUUUGAAAAUCCCAUACCAACAUCCCCCACUUAAGUUGGAGGGUGGAGGCACAACCCCUAACUUGCCCAAAGUAGAUCGAUGGUUAAGACCAGAAAGAGGUUUUGUGAAUACAUCCGCAAUUUGAGCAAUUAAAGGAAUAAAAUACAAAGAAAUGAGCCCAACAAGGUAUUUUUGACGCACAAAGUGGCAAUCGAGGUCCAUAUAUUUGGUGCGCUCGUGAAAAAUCGAAUUGUUUGCUAUAUGGAUCACCGCUUAGCUAUCGGCAUGAAGCGGCACCUGACGGAAAGGAGGGACAGACAGAUCGCCAAGUAAACGAACAAGCCAAGUAAUCUCAGCAACUACACGACGCAUCGACCUGUACUCCGCUUCAGCCGAUGAAAGAGAUACCAAAAACUUCUUUUUGGACUUCCAAGAGACCGGAGAUCCUCCCAAAGUAAUAAAAUAGCCAUUGAUCGACCUCCGAAAUUCAGGGUAUGUCCCCCAAUCUGAGUCGCAAAAAGCUAGAAUAUGGAAAGAGGGCUCUGCAGACAGAAAGAUCCCCAUACCUGGGUCUGUGAGUAAAUAUUUGAGACAACGAAGAGCAACAUCAAAAUAUGGUUGUCGAGGAGAUUGCAUAUAUUGGCUUAAAUGUUGAACUACAAAGGAAAAAUCAGGUCGCGUGUGUGUGAGAAAAUUUAACUUGCCGAUGAGUUUUCUAUAAAUUAUGGGAUCUGUUAACAACAUAUCAUCAUCCAUCCGGAGCUUGCAACAAGUAUCAAGGGGAGAUGAUGCAUGUUUCAAAUUGAGACAACCAAAUUCAGCAAGUAAGUCGAGGUUAAGAAGGCAACUUCUCCAGGGUGUUGUGAGAUCUGGACCUCCCUUUCUCAUCCUGAUAAGAAGAGAGUAAGCAUGGUUCACAAAGGGUAGAGGUGAAAGCAUCAACAGAAUACUUCUUGGUCCAAAAUAGGAGUCAUUCAGUCCCAUAAGGAAUUGGAGAA